rnacentral:rRNA from 1 species
AUGACAAGGCCGAAGUCCGUUGGAGGCCUAGGUUUUAGAGACUUCAGGCUUUUUAACCAAGCGCUACUUGCGAGGCAAGCAUGGAGAUUGCUUGCAUUCCCAAAAACUUUAUGCGCUAGAUUAUUGAAGGCCAAAUACUAUCCAAGUGGCAGAUUUGAGGACACAGUUUUUACUGGAAACCCCUCUCCAACAUGACAGGCCAUCAGCUACGGGUUAGACCUAUUGAAGAAAGGGCUUGUAUGGAGGAUUGCCAAUGGCCAGAGUGUGCGUAUUUGGCGAGACAAAUGAGUGGUGCGAGAGCCAAUGGGUAGCCUCAUUUCUCGCAAGGGACGGUGUAGAUUAAAGUGGGUGUCCGAGCUCUUCCAUCACAAUGGAGCUUGGGACCUCACAAAACUACAUCAUUUUUUUUUGCUCGUGGACACAGUUGAAAUUCUGAAAAUUCGACCAUCACCGCAUUUUGGUGAGGACUUCCUGGCCUGGGCACCAGAAAAAUCAGGAGUCUUUACAGUACGAAGCGCGUACAAACUUGCUUCUGAUGAGGUACACAAUAGCUCUAUUGCAACGUCUAGCGGGUGGGCCGACGGCAGCCGCGAAGGCUGGAAGUGCAUCUGGUCUACUCCGGCUCCACCAAAGGUACUAAAUUUCGCUUGGAGACUAGCUACAGACUCCCUUGCUACUUGGAAAAAUAAACAAAAACGUAAUAUGGAGGUUAGUGCAUUGUGUCCGAUUUGCUGCUGUGAAGAGGAAGAUUAG